rnacentral:rRNA from 1 species
UACGGAGGGAGCUAGCGUUGUUCGGAAUUACUGGGCGUAAAGCGCACGUAGGCGGCUUUGUAAGUUAGAGGUGAAAGCCCGCGGCUCAACCCCGGAAUUGCCUUUAAGACUGCAUCGCUUGAAUCCGGGAGAGGUGAGUGGAAUUCCGAGUGUAGAGGUGAAAUUCGUAGAUAUUCGCAAGAACACCAGUGGCGAAGGCGGCUCACUGGCCCGAUACUGACGCUGAGGUGCGAAAGCGUGGGGAGCAAACAGG